CCUACGGGAGGCUGCAGUGGGGAAUAUUGCACAAUGGGGGAAACCCUGAUGCAGCGCCGCCGCGUGAGUGAAGAAGUAAUUCGUUAUGUAAAGCUCUAUCAGCAGUGAAGAAAAUGACGGUACCUGAGUCAGAAGCCCCGGCUAACUACGUGCCAUCAGCCGCGGUAAUACGUAGGGGGCAAGCGUUAUCCGGAUUUACUGGGUGUAAAGGGAGCGUAGACGGCAGUGCAAGUCUGGAGUGAAAGGCGGGGGCUCAACCCCCGGACUGCUCUGGAAACUGUACGGCUGGAGUGCAGGAGAGGUAAGUGGAAUUCCUAGUGUAGCGGUGAAAUGCGUAGAUAGUAGGAGGAACACCAGUGGCGAAGGCGGCUGACUGGACUGUAACUGACGUUGAGGCUCGAAAGCGUGGGGAGCAAACAGGAUUAGAUACCCCAGUAGUC
rnacentral:rRNA from 1 species